GCUAGAAUACGGAGUCAUCCCUGCAUCCUUCCUCUGCUCUCACAUCUAUUCAGUCACUAAGUGCUUUCCAUUCCCCCUCCAAGCCCUUCUCAAUUCUGUCCAUACCUCUCCAUUCUCACUGCCACUGUCCCAGUUCAGGCUGCCAUGACAGUUUCAUAACAGGCUCCCUGCUUGCAGUCUCUCUUUUAUGUGUUUUAUCCUCCAGGAUAUAGCUGAGUUAUUUUUGUAAAACAUAGGUUGGAUCACAUUGCUCUCCACUGCUGCCAUGAUGGCCAAACCCUGGCUCUGACCUGUCAUUCUGGCCGCAUCUCCACACUACUUGCUGGUCCUUGGACAGGUCAUCCACUUACACACUGCUGAGCCAUUGCUCAUGCUAGCUGCUUAUGCUCUAGCUUGCUGGAUACUCCUUUCACCUUUUUCCACUGGUGAAUUCAAUCUUCAAGUCCCAGCUUAGGGACCACUUCUUUUAAGAGCCCCACCUUCUUGUCAGUCAUAAUUACCACUUCAAAGAAGAUUCCAUGUAACUGAUAAAUGAAUUCAGUGAUACUCUUUCUCAUCAGAGCUCUUACGGUAUUUUGUUUAAAGCCCCAUUAGAGGGCUUUAUUGUACUAUAUUUAGGUGUGUUUGAUAUGAUCUGUCUCCCUAUGAGAAUGUGAACUCCAUAAUACUAAUAGCUAACAUAUUGAGCAGUGAAUACACUAUGCUAAGUCAGGCAUGGUGCUAACCACUUUAUAUGCAGUAACCUCCAACAGCCCUGUAAGGCAGAUAAUAUUACUACUGUAAUAGCAGUAGUAAUAUUUCACAGAUAAAGAAACUGAAUGCAGGGUGGUGAAUUCACUUGUGCAAGGUUAUAUAACUAGAAAAUGGUAGAACUAGGAUUCAAACCAAGAAGUUCACAUCCUUAAGCCCUACUGUAGGCUACCUCUGUGGUGAUUAGAGGCCUUAUCUUAUUCAUCUUUGUAUUUCCAGUCUCUGGUAUUGUGUUGCUAUAUGAUAAAUGCUUUUCAUAUAGUAUAACAGAAGAAAAAUGAUUACGAAGCAUACUAGCUAUUUGCUAAAAAACUGAUAGACCAUGAUGAAAGAAUUAGUCGUGUUCCUCAAUGCAAGGGCUAUACAUGGGCUUUCCUGAAUCUGUACCAUUUUUUUUAAGAAGUAAGAAAGAUGCAAGGUAUAAAGAGAAAGUUAUUCCAGAAGUAGAUGCAGAUAUAGGUCCUGACUGGGACUAACAUGGCUCUCCAGUGUUGCCGUAUCCUCAGAAAGACCCAGCAGUCUAAGUCCUUGUUCUCACAUGGCAGAGUGAUUUUGAGAAAAACAUUUCUAAGCCGAGCGCAUUGGCUCAUGCCUGUAAUCCCAGAACUUUGGGAAGCCAAGGCAGGCAGAUCACUUGAGGACAGGAGUUUGAGACCAGCCUGGCCAACAUAGGGAAGUCCUGUAUCCAUGAAAAAUACAAAAAAUUAGCUGGGCGUGGUGGUGCGUGCCUAUAAUCCCAGCUACUCCAGAGGCUGAGGCAGGAGAAUCACUUGAACCUGGGAGGUAGAGGUUGCAGUGAGCUGAGAUUGAGCCACUGCACUUCAGCCUGGGUGACAGAGCGAAACUCUGUCUCUAAAAUAAAAUAAAAGAAAAAGAAAAACAUUUUUAGUCAGGGAAGAUUGGAACUCUUUUCAGCAAGUAUGCCAACCAAAGAGUUAAAAGUAUUGUGUGACUGGGCAUUAAUAUAAGCCCUUGAGCCUCUAUAUGUAAGAGACAGCAAUCAGACACUGAGCCACUUGCAUAGCCUUUUCGGGUUGUAGUUAAUUUAUUGAAAAAGCAGGCACAGUCACACCUCUAAUCAUAGAUAAGACAUACAGUUAAUGAUGAGAUAAGCCUUAAAGCCCAUGUAUGCCAGUUAUUUAUUUGCAGAUGGGAAUCUUCUCAACAUUUGUAGAAACAAUUGAAUGGCUUUAGAGUACUAGCAAACAUAUUACCUCUCUUUUAGCAAGAUGUACACUACAAGUAAUACUUUCACUAUGAUUUUUCUCAAAGUGGAUUUGGCUAAGAAUGUUUAAAAAUAUCUUGAAAAUUAAUUUAUUUCCUCAUGUUCCUUCUGUGAGGUACUUUGUUGUGAGAC
rnacentral:lncRNA from 1 species